UACAAAGGGGGCAAGCGUUGUUCGGAAUUACUGGGCGUAAAGGGCGCGUAGGCGGCCUUCUAAGUCGAACGUGAAAUCCCCGGGCUCAACCCGGGAACUGCGUCCGAUACUGGAAGGCUUGAAUCCGGGAGAGGGAUGCGGAAUUCCAGGUGUAGCGGUGAAAUGCGUAGAUAUCUGGAGGAACACCGGUGGCGAAGGCGGCAUCCUGGACCGGCAUUGACGCUGAGGCGCGAAAGCCAGGGGAGCAAACGGG
rnacentral:rRNA from 1 species